ensembl:misc_RNA 7SK 7SK RNA
GGAUGUGAGGGCGAUCUGGCUAUGACAUCUGUCACCCCAUCGAUUGCCAGGGUUGAUUCGGCUGAUCUGGCUGGCUAGGCGGGUGUCCCCUUCCUCCCUCACAACUCUAUGUGUGUCCCUCCCAAAGCUGUGCACUCUCGGUCGAAGAGGGCGACCAUCCCUGAUAGAGGAGGACCGUUCUUUGGUCAAGGGUACAUGAGUAGCUGUGCUCCCCUGCUAGAACCUCUAAACGAGCUCUCAAGAAACAACAUAAACAAUGGAUGGGAAAAAAUGAUGAAGACAGUGUUCAAAUGGAAAUGUCCCUCUGU